rnacentral:rRNA from 1 species
GACAGAGGGGGCAAGCGUUGCUCGGAAUCACUGGGCGUACAGGGAGCGUAGGCGGUUGGAUAAGCCCUCCGUGAAAUCUCCAGGCUUAACCUGGAAAGUGCAGAGGGGACUGUUCAGCUAAAGGAUGGGAGAGGAGCGCGGAAUUCCCGGUGUAGCGGUGAAAUGCGUAGAGAUCGGGAGGAAGGCCGGUGGCGAAGGCGGCGCUCUGGAACAUUUCUGACGCUGAGGCUCGAAAGCGUGGGGAGCAAACAGG